rnacentral:rRNA from 1 species
CUACGGGGUGCACCAGUAGGGAAUAUUGGACAAUGGGGGCAACCCUGAUCCAGCUAUGCCGCGUGAGUGAAGAAGGCUUUAGGGUCGUAAAACUCUUUCAACGGUGAAGAUAAUGACGGUAGCCGUAGAAGAAGCCCCGGCUAACUCCGUGCCAGCAGCCGCGGUAAUACGGAGGGGGCGAGCGUUGUUCGGAAUUACUGGGCGUAAAGGGCGCGUAGGCGGACGAGUAAGUUAGAGGUGAAAUCCCAGGGCUCAACCUUGGAACUGCCUUUGAUACUGCUUGUCUAGAGUGCGAGAGAGGUAAGUGGAAUUCCUAGUGUAGAGGUAAAAUUCAUAGAUAUUAGGAGGAACACCAGAGGCGAAGGCGGCUUACUGGCUCGCGACUGACGCUGAGGCGCGAAAGUGUGGGGAGCAAACAGGAUUAGAUACCCUAGUAGUC